CUUCAUGUAUAUGGAGGUGUAAAAGGGUGGGUACGAGAAAAGUUAUUCAUUUGGAGAUAGACAUUUAUUUGGCCUAUUGGCAAUAUAGAUGCAGAGGAAAUAUUUGAGGAGGUAUUGUUUGACAGGAUUGGGCAGCAAACUUUAAGGGCUCGGAUGUUUUCAACCCGCGCAGAAGAUUUAAAUUGAUUGCGUUUAUCUAUACUAUCGUAUAAGCAUUUCACAAGGGUUCCAACCAAAUUUAAAUAAUUGCAACAUAUUAUGCUUAUAGUACAACAACUCAAUGAAGUUAGUAAAGGGAAUUAGUCUUUCUACA